rnacentral:rRNA from 1 species
UACGAAGGGGGGCUAGCGUUGCUCGGAAUCACUGGGCGUAAAGGGUGCGUAGGCGGGUCUUUAAGUCAGGGGGUGAAAUCCUGGAGCUCAACUCCAGAACUGCCUUUGAUACUGAAGAUCUUGAGUUCGGGAGAGGUGAGUGGAACUGCGAGUGUAGAGGUGAAAAUUCGUAGAUAUUCGCAAGAACACCAGUGGCGAAGGCGGCUCACUGGCCCGAUACUGACG